ACGUACACUCCUGCGGGAGGCAGCAGUGGGGAAUAUUGGACAAUGGGCGCAAGCCUGAUCCAGCCAUGUCGCGUGAGUGAUGAAGGCCCUAGGGUUGUAAAGCUCUUUCACCGGUGAAGAUAAUGACGGUAACCGGAGAAGAAGCCCCGGCUAACUUCGUGCCAGCAGCCGCGGUAAUACGAAGGGGGCUAGCGUUGUUCGGAUUUACUGGGCGUAAAGCGCACGUAGGCGGACUAUUAAGUCAGGGGUGAAAUCCCGGGGCUCAACCCCGGAACUGCCUUUGAUACUGGUAGUCUUGAGUUCGAGAGAGGUGAGUGGAAUUCCGAGUGUAGAGGUGAAAUUCGUAGAUAUUCGGAGGAACACCAGUGGCGAAGGCGGCUCACUGGCUCGAUACUGACGCUGAGGUGCGAAAGCGUGGGGAGCAAACAGGAUUAGAAACCCUGGUAGUCCCAUGA
rnacentral:rRNA from 1 species